rnacentral:rRNA from 1 species
AGUGGUGAACGGGUGAGUAAUACAUCGGAACGUGCCCAGUCGUGGGGGAUAACUACUCGAAAGAGUAGCUAAUACCGCAUACGAUCUGAGGAUGAAAGCGGGGGACCUUCGGGCCUCGCGCGAUUGGAGCGGCCGAUGGCAGAUUAGGUAGUUGGUGGGAUAAAAGCUUACCAAGCCGACGAUCUGUAGCUGGUCUGAGAGGACGACCAGCCACACUGGGACUGAGACACGGCCCAGACUCCUACGGGAGGCAGCAGUGGGGAAUUUUGGACAAUGGGCGAAAGCCUGAUCCAGCAAUGCCGCGUGCAGGAUGAAGGCCUUCGGGUUGUAAACUGCUUUUGUACGGAACGAAAAAGCUCCUUCUAAUACAGGGGGCCCAUGACGGUACCGUAAGAAUAAGCACCGGCUAACUACGUGCCAGCAGCCGCGGUAAUACGUAGGGUGCGAGCGUUAAUCGGAAUUACUGGGCGUAAAGCGUGCGCAGGCGGUUAUGUAAGACAGAUGUGAAAUCCCCGGGCUCAACCUGGGAACUGCAUUUGUGACUGCAUGGCUAGAGUACGGGAGAGGGGGAUGGAAUUCCGCGUGUAGCAGUGAAAUGCGUAGAUAUGCGGAGGAACACCGAUGGCGAAGGCAAUCCCCUGGACCUGUACUGACGCUCAUGCACGAAAAGCGUGGGGAGCAAACAGGAUUAGAUA